GAUGAACGCUGGCGGCGUGCUUAACACAUGCAAGUCGAACGGGAUCCCAGGAGCUUGCUCCUGGGUGAGAGUGGCGAACGGGUGAGUAAUGCGUGACCGACCUGCCCCAUACACCGGAAUAGCUCCUGGAAACGGGUGGUAAUGCCGGAUGCUCCAGUUGACCGCAUGGUCCUCUGGGAAAGCUUUUGCGGUAUGGGAUGGGGUCGCGUCCUAUCAGGUAGUCGGCGGGGUAACGGCCCACCGAGCCUACGACGGGUAGCCGGCCUGAGAGGGCGACCGGCCACAUUGGGACUGAGAUACGGCCCAGACUCCUACGGGAGGCAGCAGUGGGGAAUAUUGCACAAUGGGCGCAAGCCUGAUGCAGCGACGCCGCGUGCGGGAUGACGGCCUUCGGGUUGUAAACCGCUUUUGACUGGGAGCAAGCCCUUCGGGGUGAGUGUACCUUUCGAAUAAGCACCGGCUA
rnacentral:rRNA from 1 species